CCCUUAGAUGUUCUGGGCUGCACGCGCGCUACACUGAUGCGUUCAACGAGUUUUUAGCUUAUCUGAUAAGAUUGGCUAAUCUUCUGAAAACGCAUCGUGAUGGGGAUAGAUUAUUGUAAUUAUUAAUCUUCAACGAGGAAUUCCUAGUAGGUGUGAAUCAUCAGUUCACGCCGAUUACGUCCCUGCCCUUUGUACACACCGCCUGUCGCUCCUACCGAUUGAGUGAUCCGGUGAAUAAUUCGGACCGGUGAGCUUCCAGGUUUACCUGGCUGCUUGCUGGAAAGUCUAGUGAACCUUAUCACUUAGAGGAAGGAGAAGUCGUAACA
rnacentral:rRNA from 1 species